ensembl:lncRNA
CUCUACCCUUGGUCCACUUCUUCUGGUCAAAUGGGAAGCACAGGUGCAAGCAAUUUGCCUGUGCUCUCUGGGCCAGCCACACCCUUUCAUCAGGUGCUCAAUCACCUGUUAAAGCCCUGACCUACUAGAUCCCCUAUAGAAUAUUAACAUAGCAUUAGAAGAAAUAUCAGAUUAAAAAAAGAUCCCUCUGGCAGAGGCAAGCUACAACUGGGACUGCAACAACAGCAAAGGCAGGAGAAAAGGCCAAUACCUGUCUGUGGGCUCAAAGCUGGUGGAAGAAGCUGUCAAUUGUGAUGUCUGCGUGACAGCGGGUGAGGAAGGCCACUGCCUGGCACAGGAAUGGUAUGAAUGUGCUGUGCUGCAGGGACAACAUGCAGCUGCGCAGGAUGUAGAUGACUGGAGAAAGAUCAAGCUGAAAGAAGGGGAGAAAGAAUGACUUGCUGCAUCCUUGACUCUGCAGGACCUAAUCAUGGACGUUCAGCACAUGAACAGUGCCUGCUCCCUUGACAUGCUGCCAAGGCCUAAGCCUAAAUUUCACACCAGUCACCCUGUCCAAGCCCUGGCUCUGUGCUCAGGCUGUGCUUCUUUAGCACAAGAGGCAAACGGCACAAGGUGUAGUGCAACAGCCAACAAAAGUCCAAGACUCGUGGAAGAAAGUCUCUUACAUCCCGACAGAUGUCCUUUCCAUGCAUCUGCAGAAAGGUGAUCAGCCACUUCCCAGCAGCACGCACACGUAUUCCUUUGGCCUUCCGGAAGGUGUCCUUGACGGCCAUCAUGAAAUCUGUGGUGUGUUCCAGGGAGAAGCUUCUGCACACAAUCUGCAGAGAAAUGAGAAGCAGGAGAGAUCCCAUCACUGCUCUGCAGCAGCUCUUCAAAAAAUAAAGCAGUCUUGAGGGCAUUCUUAGUUCAGCAGCUUGCCAGUCAUUCAGGUGGCAAUCACAACGCUCCUGCUGUCCUUACUGUGCUGUUUAUACAUAAGGUGGUUGAGCCUUCUCUCAGCUUCUCCACCCAUGAUGUUUGCUUACAUGCAAAGCCUACCUCCCAGCAGCCACAGUCACACACACACACACAGUCACACACACACACGUCAUAGAAUCAGCUCCUUGCUUUGGGUGCUGUAGGGCCAGACAUAGCUCAGUGCCUCCUGCUACUUGCUGAGAAAAGUGAUCUCAGGGUGACAGCUCAUUCUGGAAAUGGUGUGAGGGUGGGGGGAGCAUAGGGACAUGCAAAAGCCUAUGCACUGAGAUCAUACAACCCCUUUUUGGGUCCACUUACCCGCGCGAUUUUGGACGAGGUCUGGAGCUGACAGAUGGUGCUGCAGUCAUUCAGCCCCUCACACAGGCUCCCGAUGUCUCCUGUCUGGAUGACUCUGUUGGUUGCCUUGGCUGGAAAGAGCACAGGGAGAAAAGGGAAGUCAUGCUUCUGGAAACGGAACCGCUUUUCACAGGGGAGAGACAGAGGACAGGGUGGAGAGAAGAAGAGAGCGGCGCACGGUGCCUCUCCCUCCUGUAAACUGGGCCCAGCCCGUGGGGUUCUGGUAGUGCUGCGGAGGAGAGCAGAGGGCUGGCGCACGCCCGCUCUACUCACCUUGGAUUCGGAGAAGGGAGCUCAGACAGGUGACAGCCAACUGGCGGGAGGUGGGCAUGGGGUCACACGUCAGAGGCGCCAGCAAUCCCACCAAGGAGCCAAAGUG